rnacentral:rRNA from 1 species
GACCCGUCUUGAAGCACGGACCAAGGAGUCUAACAUGUGCGCGAGUGAUUGGGUGUCGACGAGACCCAGACGCACAAUGAACGUGAAGGCCCGGACUGCCGGGCCGCGGGGUGAUCCCGUCCGCUCGCGGGCGGGCGCAGCCCCGGGACGCGCCGAUCGCAUCGCCGACGGCUCGUACCCCGAGCGUACACGUUGGGACCCGAAAGAUGGUGAACUAUGCCUGGCCAGGACGAAGUCAGAGGAAACUCUGAUGGAGGUCCGUAGCGAUUUUGACGUGCAAAUCAAUCGUCCGAGCUGGGUAUAGGGGCGAAAGACUAAUCGAACCAUCUAGUAGCUGGUUCCAUCCGAAGUUUCCCUCAGGAUAGCUGGCGCUCGCCUGACCGAGUUUCAUCCGGUAAAGCGAAUGAUUAGAGGCCUUGGGGCCGAAACGAUCUCAACCUAUUCUCAAACUUUAAAUGGGUGAGAAGUCGGGCUUGCUCGACUGAAGCACCGACCCUCGAAUCGAGAGUGCCAAGUGGGCCACUUUUGGUAAGCAGAACUGGCGCUGUGGGAUGAACCAAACGCAGAGUUAAGGUGCCCGAGAGAACGCUCAUCAGAUCCCAUGAAAGGUGUUGGUUGCUAUAGACAGCAGGACGGUGGCCAUGGAAGUCGGAAUCCGCUAAGGAGUGUGUAACAACUCACCUGCCGAAGCAACUAGCCCUGAAAAUGGAUGGCGCUCAAGCGUUCCACCUAUACUCUGCCGUCGGUGCAACGGCGCGGAGCCGCCUCGCGCGGCCCGUCCAGAAGCUCCGACGAGUAGGAUGGUGCAGUGGUGUGCCUAGAAGGGUCGGGGUGUGAACCU